rnacentral:rRNA from 1 species
AACUGUUGCUGACCUGUUAAAGGGUAUGUGCACGUUCAAACUGUUACGGGUUCUGUUCUUAUCCACCUGUGAACCUUUGUAGACUUGGUUAAGCUUCGCUUUCAAGCGGUUUGAAGGGUUGCUUGCUUGCGAGCUCCCUUUGUCUUACCGAGUCUAUGUCUAUAUAAACUUUUGUAUGUUUAGAAUGUCUUUGUUUAUGGGACGCAAGUCCUUUAAAUGUUAUACAACUUUCAACAACGGAUCUCUUGGCUCUCGCAUCGAUGAAGAACGCAGCGAAAUGCGAUAACUAAUGUGAAUUGCAGAAUUCAGUGAAUCAUCGAGUCUUUGAACGCACCUUGCGCCCUUUGGUAUUCCAAAGGGCAUGCCUGUUUGAGUGUCAUUAAAUUCUCAACCUUGUCUUGUUUUAUUACAAGUGCGAUGGAUUGGAUUAUGGGGGCUUGCUGGUCUCUAACGAGAUCAGCUCCUCUGAAAUGCAUUAGCAGAAACCGUUUGACUUUGGCUGCUAGGCUGUGAUAAUAUCUACGCCUUGGUAGUUGGGUUGGAAUACAAAGUGUUAGAGUGAUAAGGAACUAUUACUCAGGCUUUCGAGUCUGGCUUAGGAUCGGUUUGGAGGGUUGCUUAACGGCUCCUUCUGCUUUCUCCCUUUGUUGGAGAUACUUGUCUGAUUGUAAGAGAGGAAUUGCGUUUA